rnacentral:lncRNA from 1 species
GUUUUUGUGUUUUGAUCUGUUUUUCUCAUACUUUAUGCAAUAGGUCUACUAUAUUUGUUGUAUGGAAUAAUUGUAAGGUGAACAUGUCUAGCGGACAGAUGUCAUCUGACCUUGACUUCAUUUUCAUGGUUCAGUGGUCAAAGUUAAGUUUUUUGAGUUUUGGUCUUUUUAUCUGAUACUAUAAGUAUUAGGUCAACUAUAUUUGUUUUAUGGAAGCAUUGUUAGCUGUACAUGUCAGCCUGACAUGGUUCAUCUGACCUUGACCUCAUUUUCAUGGUUCAUUGGUCUUUGUUUAGUUAUCUUGGUUAAUGUAACGUUUAUGUGACAGUUGUAAUAAAGCUU